rnacentral:misc_RNA from 1 species
GGAAAUCUUCAUUUCUUGUAACUUCAAAACUCAAUAAGUUAGCUUCAAAAAACAGCAGCCACUCAUAAAAUAUAAUCUAGAAAAUACGUAUUUUCAUAGGGUUUAUGCAUCCUUCACGCAUGCUCCUCAAAGAAAAUAAUUGAAUAUUUAGAUCAAGCAAUUAUCUUGAAAGUUUGACUCACAUUGUUAAUUUCAUAUGCUUUCCUUGUCAUCAAGCAUCACGAAGGAUGUCAAAAUAUCUCCUAAGAUUCAGAAUAUCUACUAAGAUUCAGAAAUAAACUUUUUUCCCAUUCAAAUGUUAUAUAUAUAUAUAUAUGCCAUAUAAUACGAGAAAUAAUAUAUAUAUGUCAGUGUUUUAUUUAUAAAUAA